rnacentral:piRNA from 1 species
ACAUCUCCUGCAACAUGGACCCUCGUAGAA